CUCUUCUUGAAUAUAUUUUGAUGUAUGGCCUGCCCACUGAAUAUUGAAGGGCCGCGGUAUUUUGACCGUGCAAAGGUAGCAUAAUCAUUAGUCUUUUAAUUGUAGGCUGGAAUGAAUGGUUUGACGAGGUGUUAACUGUCUUUAUUUUUUUUUUGAACUUAAAUUUUAGGUUAAAAUGCCUAAAUGUUUUUUUGGGACGAGAAGACCCUAUAGAGUUUUAUAUAUUUUUAUUUUUUUUGUAUGAGAAUUUCUAAUGUAAAAAUUUAUUUUGUUGGGGUGAUGGAAAGAUUUAAUUAACUCUUUUUAUUUAUUUUAUAUUUAUUUAUAUAUAUUUGAUCCAUUUAUAUUGAUUAUAAGACUAAAUUACC
rnacentral:rRNA from 1 species